GUUCUUUAAACAUUUCUGCACAUGAUAUUUGCUGUUGAGUUAAAUAAUGAAAAUUAACAACCGUAGAGUGUUAUUGUGGGGUAUUUCCAGACUUUUUAACUUUCUUUUUAAUUAAUGUCAUUAUUAUGAAAACACAGAUUGCAAGAUAAACUGCAUCAUUAUCUAUACAUAUAACUGGAAACAAAAAUAUAUUAUGUUUUAUAGCCAUUACUGCUGCUCUCUUAAAUUGAGGUAUUUUGUAUGGAAAUCAGCCUUUUUAAUGUAACUACCAAAUAUCCUUUAUAAUGACCACAUGUCUGAUAUUUGUAACAAAUAUUAGGCUACCACAAGAAAAUUUUUAUUCUCUACCAACUCCUCAGAUUCCUCUUCCUCUCCAAGCUCGGAGAAUGGAAAGAAGAAGAAGAAGAUGAAGAAGUCAAAGAAGAAGAAGGGAAAGAAAGUAACAACGGAGAGAGGAAACAAAAAGAUCAGACGGAGCCGUGUUUCAAGGGCACGUGGUCCAGAUGAGGUAAUUGCACGUUACCGGAAAGUGUUGAAGGUCUACAAGAAGAAGAAUACCGUCACUGCUGCUUGCAGAAUAGUGGGAGUGAAUUGCAAU
ensembl:lncRNA